rnacentral:rRNA from 1 species
UACGGAGGAUGCGAGCGUUAUCCGGAUUUAUUGGGUUUAAAGGGUGCGCAGGCGGUCUGUUAAGUCAGCGGUCAAAGCCCGGGGCUCAACCCCGGCCCGCCGUUGAAACUGGCAGUCUCGAGUUGGAGAGAAGUAUGCGGAAUGCGCGGUGUAGCGGUGAAAUGCAUAGAUAUCGCGCAGAACUCCGAUUGCGAAGGCAGCAUGCCGGCUCCACACUGAUGCUGAGGCACGAAAGCGUGGGUAUCGAACAGG